rnacentral:misc_RNA from 1 species
UCCAGCUUAUCGCUGGCGGUCUCCUGCGAGUGCCCCCUUGCGGGAUGGCAACACAGGACAAGGGUUGCGCUCGUUGCGGGACUUAACCCAACAUCUCACGACACGAGCUGACGACAGCCAUGCAGCACCUCGACUCCACUCCCUUGCGGGAUACCGAUGUUUCCACCGGCGUUGAGAAGCCGUUCGAGCCCAGGUAAGGUUCUUCGCGUUGCGUCGAAUUGAACCACAUGCUCCACCGCUUGUGCGGGCCCCCGUCAAUUCCUUUGAGUUUCAGCCUUGCGACUGUACUCCCCAGGCGGGGCGCUUAAUGCGUUAGCUGCGGCACGGAGAACGUGGAAGGUUCCCCACACCUAGCGCCCAACGUUUACGGAGUGGACUAC